GAUUCUCCUAUCGGGGUCACAGGGACGUUAAGAUUGCAACCUGGACUUUCGUUGACCAUGCUGUCCCGGGUGGUACUUUCCGCCGCCGCCACAGCGGCCCCCUCUCUGAAGAAUGCAGCCUUCCUAGGUCCAGGACUUUGCUGAUAAACUCAAUGAGCAAAAACUUGCCCAACUAGAAGAGGCGAAGCAGGCUUCCAUCCAACACAUCCAGAAUGCAAUUGAUAUGGAGAAGUCACAACAGGCACUGGUUCAGAAGCGCCAUUACCUUUUUGAUGUGCAAAGGAAUAACAUUGCUAUGGCUUUGGAAGUUACUUACCGGGAACGACUGUAUAGAGUAUAUAAGGAAGUAAAGAAUCGCCUGGACUAUCAUAUAUCUGUGCAGAACAUGAUGCGUCGAAAGGAACAAGAACACAUGAUAAAUUGGGUGGAGAAGCACGUGGUGCAAAGCAUCUCCACACAGCAGGAAAAGGAGACAAUUGCCAAGUGCAUUGCGGACCUAAAGCUGCUGGCAAAGAAGGCUCAAGCACAGCCAGUUAUGUAAAUGUAUCUAUCCCAAUUGAGACAGCUAGAAACAGUUGACUGACUAAAUGGAAACUAGUCUAUUUGACAAAGUCUUUCUGUGUUGGUGUCUACUGAAGUUAUAGUUUACCCUUCCUAAAAAUGAAAAGUUUGUUUCAUAUAGUGAGAGAACGAAAUCUCUAUCGGCCAGUCAGAUGUUUCUCAUCCUUCUUGCUCUGCCUUUGAGUUGUUCCGUGAUCACUUCUGAAUAAGCAGUUUGCCUUUGUAAAAACUUGCUGCCUGACUAAAGAUUAACAGGUUAUAGUUUAAAUUUGUAAUUAAUUCUACCAUCUUGCAAUAA
rnacentral:sRNA from 1 species